rnacentral:rRNA from 1 species
AUUGAACGCGGGCGGUAGGCCUAACACAUGCAAGUCGAACGCGAAAGUCCUUCGGGAUGAGUAGAGUGGCGGACGGGUGAGUAACGCGUAGGAAUCUAUCCUGUAGUGGGGGAUAACGUUUCGAAAGGAACGCUAAUACCGCAUACGCCCCAAGGGGGAAAGCGGGGGAUCUUCGGACCUCGUGCUAUAGGAGGAGUCUGCGUCGGAUUAGCUAGUUGGUGAGGUAAAGGCUCACCAAGGCGACGAUCCGUAGCUGGUCUGAGAGGAUGAUCAGCCACACCGGAACUGAGACACGGUCCGGACUCCUACGGGAGGCAGCAGUGGGGAAUAUUGCGCAAUGGGCGAAAGCCUGACGCAGCCAUACCGCGUGUGUGAAGAAGGCCUUCGGGUUGUAAAGCACUUUCAGUGGGGAGGAAAAGCUGGUGGCUAAUAUCCAUCGGCCGUGACGCUACCCACAGAAGAAGCACCGGCUAAUUCCGUGCCAGCCGCCGCCGUAA